rnacentral:rRNA from 1 species
GUUUACGGCCACACCACCCUGAAUGUGCCCGAUCUCGUCCGAUCUCAGAAGCUGAGGAGGGUCGGGUCGGGCCUGGUUAGUACUUGGAUGGGGGACAUUCCCUGGGUUGUGCUGUCGCAGACA